rnacentral:tRNA from 1 species
AGGGCGGCAUUCAUCCAGGAAACUCAUAAUCCGUGGGCCGUGGGUUCAAGUCCCACCCGCCCUGCCA